rnacentral:rRNA from 1 species
GAUGAACGCUAGCGGCAGGCCUAACACAUGCAAGUCGAGGGGUAGAACACUUCGGUGUUUGAGACCGGCGCACGGGUGCGUAACGCGUAUGCAAUCUACCUUAUACAGGGGAAUAGCCCAGAGAAAUUUGGAUUAAUGCCCCAUAGUAUUAUUGAAUGGCAUCAUUUAAUAAUUAAAGUUCCAACGGUAUAAGAUGAGCAUGCGUCCCAUUAGUUAGUUGGUAAGGUAACGGCUUACCAAGACGAUGAUGGGUAGGGGUCCUGAGAGGGAGAUCCCCCACACUGGUACAGGGACACGGACCAGACUCCUACGGGAGGCAGCAGUGAGGAAUAUUGGUCAAUGGUCGCAAGACUGAACCAGCCAUGCCGCGUGCGGGAAGACGGUCCUAUGGAUUGUAAACUGCUUUUAUACAGGAAGAAACCCUCCCACGUGUGGGAGCUUGACGGUACUGUAGGAAUAAGGAUCGGCUAACUCCGUGCCAGCCGCCGCAGUAAAAC